GAGUGGCGGACGGGUGAGUAACGCGUGGGGAACCUGCCCCAUACCGGGGGAUAACAGCCGGAAACGGCUGCUAAUACCGCAUAAGCGCACAGUACCGCAUGGUACGGUGUGAAAAACUCCGGUGGUAUGGAAUGGACCCGCGUCUGAUUAGCCAGUUGGCGGGGUAACGGCCCACCAAAGCGACGAUCAGUAGCCGGCCUGAGAGGGCGACCGGCCACAUUGGGACUGAGACACGGCCCAGACUCCUACGGGAGGCAGCAGUGGGGAAUAUUGCACAAUGGGGGAAACCCUGAUGCAGCGACGCCGCGUGGAGGAAGAAGGUCUUCGGAUUGUAAACUCCUGUUGUUGGGGAAGAUAAUGACGGUACCCAACAAGGAAGUGACGGCUAACUACGUGCCAGCAGCCGCGGUAAAACGUAGGUCACAAGCGUUGUCCGGAAUUACUGGGUGUAAAGGGAGCGCAGGCGGGAAGACAAGUUGGAAGUGAAAUCCAUGGGCUCAACCCAUGAACUGCUUUCAAAACUGUUUUUCUUGAGUAGUGCAGAGGUAGGCGGAAUUCCCGGUGUAGCGGUGGAAUGCGUAGAUAUCGGGAGGAACACCAGUGGCGAAGGCGGCCUACUGGGCACCAACUGACGCUGAGGCUCGAAAGUGUGGGUAGCAAACAGGAUUAGAUACCCUGGUAGUCCACACCGUAAACGAUGAUUACUAGGUGUUGGAGGAUUGACCCCUUCAGUGCCGCAGUUAACACAAUAAGUAAUCCACCUGGGGAGUACGACCGCAAGGUUGAAACUCAAAGGAAUUGACGGGGGCCCGCACAAGCAGUGGAGUAUGUGGUUUAAUUCGACGCAACGCGAAGAACCUUACCAAGUCUUGACAUCCGUUGACCGACAUAGAAAUAUGUUUUUCCUUCGGGACAGCGAGACAGGUGGUGCAUGGUUGUCGUCAGCUCGUGUCGUGAGAUGUUGGGUUAAGUCCCGCAACGAGCGCAACCCUUAUGGUCAGUUACUACGCAAGAGGACUCUGGCCAGACUGCCGUUGACAAAACGGAGGAAGGUGGGGAUGACGUCAAAUCAUCAUGCCCUUUAUGACUUGGGCUACACACGUACUACAAUGGCGUUAAACAAAGAGAAGCAAGACCGCGAGGUGGAGCAAAACUCAAAAACUUGUCUCAGUUCGGAUUGUAGGCUGAAACUCGCCUACAUGAAGCUGGAGUUGCUAGUAAUCGCGAAUCAGCAUGUCGCGGUGAAUACGAUCCCGGGCCUUGCACUCACCGCCCGUCA
rnacentral:rRNA from 1 species